UGUGUGCCCACAUAAAGCUUACCUUAAC
rnacentral:piRNA from 1 species